AGUCAUCAGGAUAUGACAUCUGGUACUGUCUUAACUGUUUCCAAUGAUAAGUAUAAGAAACAAAUCGUAGUUAUUGUUAGGUACAGGGUACUCACUGCCGUGGACCACACUGUCUUAAGACUAUGCCCCAUUUCAUUGUUCUCAUGAAGUGACCCUGGAUUCUAAUUUAAACUACACAAGCUGUAUGACUUUAAUAUAUACAGGCAUGUCACGAUGUUGAAUAUCGCAGUACAUAUAAGCCUAGGAUUGCAACCUGUAUUCAUAUUUAUCACAAACCCGAUUGAGUGACGUUACCAGCCUCUGUGCACACGGAUGUAAUGCAUGUACACCCUGAUCCCGUACGCCUUUACCUGGUACACAUAAAUUAUCUGGUAUCACAUUGCAGUAUUAAAACGAUCGUAUUGAAUUCCCUUACGUCGAGAGUUUAACUGCAUAAACAGCGGUUGUGUCACCCGACAAAGCAGACCAAAUGGACGGUGGUUGAGAUACUUCGUGUGCAGUGUGGGGAUCUACACAUCCUUCUGUGAAGCAAGUAUUUCAGAUACAAUGCAUUCAAGCACAGCGUGUUACGGUGCGGGGGAUAUACAACGUCACCAAUGCCACGUGUGAAAGCAAUCAGAGGAUCGCAAUACUAGAGGCAUGUUACACAUCAGAUACACAGUGUGCUUCGUCAACGAACUCAAGCUCAGAAUGUGAUACUAGAUACAACCACACGGAGAUUCAAGCUCUUUUAAUGACCUGUUCCGCCUAGACAUGGUGCACAUUCGUCCCUCCUUGGCCAAAUGGGAAUUGUUUUGUGUCGAUGGUGAAACACACCUACAUUGAAGAUACCGACAUCAUCAGUAUGAACGGGAGUCAAGUUCAGAACAAAACUGAGGUGACACUUCAGUACGUUUCCCAAGAUUCGGUUGUAACGCGAAAUGCGUCCGUAUAUACAUGUGCGGUAAAUUUCACACGUUCCACUAUACAGAUUUCCUCCCUCGAUCUGCGACUGGGAACGCAGGGACAGUGUGCCGGAAACUUGAUAAUAGAAAAUAGAGAUCUAAACAUGACAUGUGUCUGCACAUUUGAAGAUGAGCGUUGUCCUAGAUAUAAUAAAACCACCUCUACUCAAGUCA